AGUGAACGUUGGCGGUAGGCCUAACACAUGCAAGUCGAACGGCAGCACAGUAAGAGCUUGCUCUUACGGGUGGCGAGUGGCGGACGGGUGAGGAAUACAUCGGAAUCUACUUUUUCGUGGGGGAUAACGUAGGGAAACUUACGCUAAUACCGCAUACGACCUACGGGUGAAAGCAGGGGAUCUUCGGACCUUGCGCGAUUGAAUGAGCCGAUGUCGGAUUAGCUAGUUGGCGGGGUAAAGGCCCACCAAGGCGACGAUCCGUAGCUGGUCUGAGAGGAUGAUCAGCCACACUGGAACUGAGACACGGUCCAGACUCCUACGGGAGGCAGCAGUGGGGCAUAUUGGACAAUGGGCGCAAGCCUGAUCCAGCCAUACCGCGUGGGUGAAGAAGGCCUUCGGGUUGUAAAGCCCUUUUGUUGGGAAAGAAAAGCAGCAGGUUAAUACCCCGCUGUUCUGACGGUACCCAAAGAAUAAGCACCGGCUAACUUCGUG
rnacentral:rRNA from 1 species